GCCCCUACGGGACGCAGCAGUGAGGAAUAUUGGUCAAUGGGCGCGAGCCUGAACCAGCCAAGUCGCGUGAGGGAGGACGGCCCUACGGGUUGUAAACCUCUUUUGCCGGGGAGCAACGGGCGUCACGUGUGGCGCCACUGAGAGUACCCGGAGAAAAAGCAUCGGCUAACUCCGUGCCAGCAGCCGCGGUAAUACGGAGGAUGCGAGCGUUAUCCGGAUUUAUUGGGUUUAAAGGGUGCGUAGGCGGAUCGUUAAGUCAGUGGGCAAGUUGAGGGGCUCAACCCCUUCCCGCAGUUGAAACGGGG
rnacentral:rRNA from 1 species